UACGUAGAGUGCAAGCGUUGUCCGGAAUUAUUGGGCGUAAAGGGUACGCAGGCGGAUAGUAAAGUCUAAGCGGUGAAAGGUGUCGGCUUAACCGACAGACUGCGUUUGAAACUGAUUAUCUUGAGUGUAACAGAGGAGAGUGGAAUUCCUAGUGUAGUGGUGAAAUACGUUAGAUAUUAGGAAGAACGACCAGUGGCGAAGGCGACUCUCUGGGUUAACACUGACGCUGAGGUACGAAAGCUGGGGAGCCAAACGGGAUUAGAUACCCCGGUAGU
rnacentral:rRNA from 1 species